AACGGCCAUACCAUACUGAAUAUACCGGUUCUCGUUAGAUCACCGAAGUCAAGCAUCAUUGGGCGCGGCCAGUACUUGGUGGUGGGUGACCACCUGGGAACACCGCGUGCCGUU